CUACGGGGGGCAGCAGUGGGGAAUAUUGCACAAUGGGCGCAAGCCUGAUGCAGCCAUGCCGCGUGUAUGAAGAAGGCCUUCGGGUUGUAAAGUACUUUCAGCGGGGAGGAAGGGAGUAAAGUUAAUACCUUUGCUCAUUGACGUUACCCGCAGAAGAAGCACCGGCUAACUCCGUGCCAGCAGCCGCGGUAAUACGGAGGGUGCAAGCGUAAUCGGAAUUACUGGGCGUGAAGCGCACGCAGGCGGUUUGUUAAGUCAGAUGUGAAAUCCCCGGGCUCAACCUGGGAACUGCAUCUGAUACUGGCAAGCUUGAGUCUCGUAGAGGGGGGUAGAAUUCCAGGUGUAGCGGUGAUAUGCGUAGAGAUCUGGAGGAAUACCGGUGGCGAAGGCGGCCCCCUGGACGAAGACUGACGCUCAGGUGCAAAAGCGUGGGGAGCAAACAGGAUUAGAUACCCGGGUAGUC
rnacentral:rRNA from 1 species